UGAUAGUAUAUAUGGACAUAUCUCUAUAAAUUGUUGAAUGCAAGAAUGAACUAAUACAACAAAAAUUGAAUAUAAUUAAGUUGUUAACAAACAAACAAUUCUAGUUGUUUCUUUCUUUUGAUCAAACAAUGGCUUAUGUUAAGCUCGCUAUUUUCGCCGCCUUCCUGCUUACCGCAUUCUUAAUAUUCCCGAUGAAAAGCGCAAAAGCAAGUUGUCCGGACGUGGGUCGUCGGUGUUCAGUAUUUCAGUCGCCACCAUGCGGCAACGGAGAUUGUUAUUGUAGACCAUUGGCAUUGGGAUUAUAUGUAGGUUUUUGCGCAAGUCUGUAAUGAAUCAUAUAUAGGCCCUGGAGAAUAUAAUAAUCCAAGUUUCAUUAGUUAAGUUAGGUGAUUAAUCAUGUUUUAGAAGGAUCUAGAUGAAAUGAAUUGACGAGUCAUUGAUUAGUUUGUUAGGAUUAACCAAGCCUAUAAAUAAAGGCAUGAGGUGAAUCUAAUGAUCAAGCAAAAUGGAUGAAAAGAGUUAGUUAUUUUAGCUACUA